rfam:Dipodomys ordii contig_31071, whole genome shotgun sequence.
GGUGGCUCAGUGGUAGAGUGCUUGCUUUGCAUGCAUGAAGCCCUGGGUUCAAUUCCUCAGCACCA